AUUGAACGCUGGCGGCAGGCCUAACACAUGCAAGUCGAACGGUAACAGGAAGCAGCUUGCUGCUUUGCUGACGAGUGGCGGACGGGUGAGUAAUGUCUGGGAAACUGCCCGAUGGAGGGGGAUACCUACUGGAAACGGUAGCUAAUACCGCAUAACGUCGCAAGACCAAAGAGGGGGACCUUAGGGCCUCUUGCCAUCGGAUGUGCCCUGAUGGGAUUAGCUAGUAGGUGGGGUAACGGCUCACCUAGGCGACGAUCCCUAGCUGGUCUGAGAGGAUGACCAGCCACACUGGAACUGAGACACGGUCCAGACUCCUACGGGAGGCAGCAGUGGGGAAUAUUGCACAAUGGGCGCAAGCCUGAUGCAGCCAUGCCGCGUGUAUGAAGAAGGCCUUCGGGUUGUAAAGUACUUUCAGCGGGGAGGAAGGGAGUAAAGUUAAUACCUUUGCUCAUUGACGUUACCCGAAGAAGAAGCACCGGCUAACUCCGUG
rnacentral:rRNA from 1 species